CAGUAGCCACGGUAAUACGAAGGGUGCAAGCGUUAAUCGGAAUUACUGGGCGUAAAGCGUGCGUAGGCGGUUUGUUAAGUCUGCUGUGAAAUCCCCGGGCUCAACCUGGGAAUGGCAGUGGAUACUGGCAAGCUAGAGUGUGUCAGAGGAUGGUGGAAUUCCCGGUGUAGCGGUGAAAUGCGUAGAGAUCGGGAGGAACAUCUGUGGCGAAGGCGACUAUCUGGGCCAACACUGACACUGAGGCACGAAAGCGUGGGGAGCAAACAGGAUUAGAUACCCCCGUAGUCCCUGUCUCUUAUAC
rnacentral:rRNA from 1 species